rnacentral:lncRNA from 1 species
GGGAACUGUGUUAAAGGGUGGCUGCAAUAGAAAGGUUGGGAACCACUGUUCUAGAGGACACAGGAGUUGUUCCUGAAGUCUUUGAUCACAUUUUCCCCUCACCAAUAGUGCAGAACCUUGCUUUAGAUGUGGGUAAAAAAGGCUAUUUGAAGAGGCCUCAUUUCAUAAUGCUGUUUAUUAACAAAUGAUGAACUCUUGGCAAACGGCAUGUUUAAAGAAAGCUUAUCUAACACAUUCAUUUCCUUCAUAAAGCACAUCACAUUCUUGCACUUGGGAACAUACAGCACUAUACUUGGGAACAUUUUAUUUUAAAUAGCUAAAUCAUUAACAAAGUGAACCAAAACACUAAAUCUUCUUAACUCUGCAAAAAACAAACAAACAAACAAACAAACAAAAAACCCCACUCAUUUUUUAAUAUGGACACAGAGACAACAGGGCAGAGCAUCACCUUGUCCAGGCACAAGUGGGAAGUUGUGAGUUGGGUGGCUCACAGUUUUUGCCAUUCUGUGCAUGUCCAUGAAUUUGUGCCAGUAAUAUUGAUUUUUAUCAAGCGGGUGAAUUUCUAACUGCAAAUCUAUGAUAAUGAAGACUGACAACUUCCUGACAGCCAUUGUGCUAGCCCCGUCAAGGAAAUCCCAGCUUUCAGAGAGGAGGUGAAACAUUGAUCUUUCAGCCCAAAUGUCUGAAUACAAAUGCCAGGGAAUCAUGAAAUGCAUCCCUUUUGUUUUUUCUUAUUCAAAUCCUCUGCCUCCAAAGUUACAUUAUUUGGUUUCAAGUAGACUUUUACUAAGCACAUUUAUCAAGACUGUAGCUUUUAGAGAAGAGCUCGUCAAACAGUUGUACAAACAAAAUGCUUGAUUCUGUUUGAAGUUCUUUUUUUUUUCUUCUUCUUCUUUUCUUCAAAUUAAAUUCAGGUUAGCAGACAAAAUAAUGGGUUUCACUAUGGCAUCUUGUAGAUAUAUGCCGUCUCACUUUGUUCUCAAUUAUUCCCCCCCAACACUACUCCUUUUCCCCUCUGGCUGGUUUACCUUCCCCCCUUCAGCCUUCCCACACUAUAUUUAAUUCUAUCAUCAUGCUUCUGGAUGCCUCGGGAUAAUGGAUCUGCUCAUUCCAAUCAAGAAUAAAACCAGGCAACACUUCAGCCCCACUUAAGGUCUGGGUAGAACAGGCUCAUUGAACAUCUCAUGGCCAACAGUAGACCCCAUCUUUCCUAAUGACAGGGAGAUGAGAACUGAGGUGCAACAUCUACCCCUCACCACUCACUGGACACACACAAUCAGAAAGCUUUCAGAAAGCUCUAUGGGACAUGGACCAUGGUAGGAAUUUUCCUCCUCCAUAUCUUCCCUUUAUAAUUAACAAGUGAUAAUUACUUGGCUGUGAUCCCUGAGCAUCUGUGGAAAAGAGGAUGCUUUUGGAAGACUGGCUUUCCUUUUGCAAUCUUAUGUCUGUUUCAAGGCUAAAAUAAAUCUUUGGACCUGACACUCCAGGUUCUUCAUGAGGUAGACCCAAUUUUGUUCUGUGCCAACCAAAAAGGAGUUUAUUAUAGAUUAACAAUAAGACAUGAACCAUACACUGGAUGAGGUAAAGGGGCUAUACAAAAUGACAAAGCUAACAUCCAUGAAAGUAGAAGAUGGAGAGGACAUGUGUAGCUAUGGCUCCUUGAUGUGGUGUAGAUCAGAGAGAGUGUAUCAGCUUGCAACAAGAGGGGAGCAGAUGGAGAGGAGGGGAAGGAGGAAGGAAGAAUGCACCAGGGAAGGAAAACACUGAACUCAAAAUAAAUAGAUCUUCCUUCCUUCAUUCCUCCCUCCCUCCCUCCCUCCUUCCCUCCCUACCUCCCUUCCUCCCUCUCUCCCUCCCUUCUUCACUCUAUCCCUUCCUUGCUCUCUCCCUCCUUUCUUCCUCCUCCCAUUCCUGAGAGAGAGAGAGAGAGAGAGAGAGAGAGAGAGAGAGAGAGAGAGAGAGAGAGAGAGAGAGAGAGAAAGACAGAGAGAGAAUGGACAUGGAGUAGGUGGGGUGAUGGGGGAAAUUAUAAAAAUACAUAAUAUGAGAAAAAUGUUUUUCUGAUAGAAUAAUAGUUCUUGGAUAAUGUGGACUUUCCAUAGCUUUGGGGAAAGGGAGAGGUAAAAAAGUUUGCAAAUGGAAAUGUGUGUAGGAUUGGUGGCACCAUGAAGAAAUACAUAGCAGAGGGCAAGGUGGUUCAUAUUGAAUUGUAUGUAAAUAGGACAUCUGAAAAUAGGCAGAAGAACUGAAAUUUGGUGGAGUAGUGAACAGCCAUUGAAGGCUUCGGAGAAAAGAUGCCAAUCAGCCACCUCCUAAGUGGACUGCAGAUGAGAGAGAUAGGUACCAACUGAUUUUUUUCCCUACGCAUGUAUAUGUCUUUCUUCCUUUCUUUCUUCCUUUCAUCCUUCCUUCCUUCCUUCCUUCCUUCCUUUCUUUCUUUCUUUCUUUCUUUCUUUCUUUCUUUCUUUCUUUCUUUUCUUUCUUUCUUUUUCGAGACAGGGUUUCUCUGUGUAGCUUUGGAGCCUAUCCUGGCGCUCCCUCUGGAGACCAGGCUGGCCUCAAACUCACAGAGAUCUGCCUGCCUCUGCCUCCGGAGUGCUGGGAUUAAAGGUGUGCGCCACCAACACCCAGCGUAUAUGAGUGUUUCUAGUGAGCCUUCAUUUGGUGUUCAAGAAGUCUUCAUCGGCUAGCCACUCUGUGCUAGAUAGUAUGGAAAAUGAUACAGCUAUAUGAAUAGAUAAGACUGAACCAAGGUGACUCAAAUGUAUUUUAAUACCCUGUUUUCCUGCUCUUCUGUUUUGACUCUAUGUCUCAGAGAGAAGAUGCUCUCUGGAGCCACUCAGCAGUGGUUCUGAUGCACAGUGUUGCUAAAGGGUGGGUGGUGUGUCUUCCUCACUUGGAUGUUUUUCUCCUUAGGUCAAAGCUUGGGGAGACAAAGAACAUGCUUUGUGUAAAGACAUAAAAUUUCUUUUUAUGUCUUUGAUAAUGUCUGUGAAAUGCAACUCUAUCUACAUUUUCUGGUCAAGCUUAUUAUAGUGUGGUGACACAGGCGUGCUCCCUUUCUUACAAUGAAGUAAAAGGGACAGAUUUGUGCCCCUCCCAUUUCCUUCACAGCCACAAUGUUAGCCCAUUCCAUAAAUCACAACAGCUGAGUCCAUCUUAAUGGUAUAAAUAUUUCCAUAAUUUAGAUGCACUCAGUAAAUUGUCAGAUAGUUAUUAAUAAGAACAAGAUGUCUUCUUGAAAUUCUGGCUUUGACAACAACACUUAGGAUGUGGCCAUGGAACAUGUUACUUUCAAUUCAUUGUCUAGAAUUCUCCCUGGCAGGAAAUUGGAAUUUCCUAGAAACUCGUUUUUUAAUUCAUUCUGGUGCCAGCAUUAGUGAGUGACAGUGUUUGCCUUCAUAUUUACCAGAUGUUUUGCUCAUAUAUUAAAUCUAUUAAUUUACUUACCCGUGUUUUAGUAUGUAUGUAUGUAUGUAUGUAUGUAUGUAUGUAUGUAUGUAUGUAUGUAUGUAUAAUUCCAUCUUCAAAACCUGGCGAAUACCCUAGGAUUUAAAGCGUCCUUGUGGUCUCUGUGAGAAUGUGUUUGUCAGACUCUAGGUGGCGCUCCACAUCCGGCUUGGGAAGCAGGGCAAGGAGCAUGUCCUUAAGGCUUGGCAUGGAAUGAGACCCACAGGACCCACACAGACUGGACUAGGGAGGGAGCUUUCCGUGUGGGGGUGGAGGGUGGGGUAGAGCAGUAUGUGUGCUUGGGUUUCGUUUGGGGAACAAAACAAAACACCAUAUUUUAAUGUAAUUUAGUUUUAGAUUUCUAUUCGGGUGGGAGUGGGGUGGGGUUGGCGUAAAAAUAUCCAACUUGAACACCACCCUUCUCAUCUCCUGGACUGGGAAAACCUGGAUCCCUGAGUUUCUAUCUAGCUGGAAAUCACCCAAGAGAAUUACCUGAAGAGCAAUACCUGAAAUGGAGGAUGUAUGUGAGAGAAAUGGACCAUUUGCUACAUAAAGCAUUGAAAUGUCUUUGGCUUGGGAUUCAGACGCUCACUCAUUGGAUGAGGUGUGUAGCCCACCUAACUAUGAAGCCCUUUCUUGAUGGAGCCAUCAUGAGAAGAGCUGCAGAAGCACACCCUGAGGAAAGCUAUCCCCGGCUCGCUGGGUGGAUCCAACUGAUGGUGGACCCAAUUUUCUGAAUGGCUGGAGCUUCACAGAACACUGUUGCUUGUUAAUGUUCAGACACCGACCGCACUGGGAAGAGUCAUUGCUCGUGUCAACUCAUCAAGUAGUCUAAACAAGCCUGUUGGAGGCUGGCCAGCUCCGGACAGUCAUUGACCACAGAUGCGAUCUGGAAGCCCAUUACAACUUGUGGAAGCGAAAGGGAAAGCGGACCGUGCUUCCAGCCAGUCGCAGGCUUAUGAAGCCGGUCUAUCCAGUACAUAGUUUUUGUUUAAAGCCGUCAGCACAAAUUCCUACUUCAGGAUGGGACGAAAACAGCAUUGAGAUCACCAACAGGAUGCUGCUGCGUUGUUUGACCCCAAGCUGUGUAUUGCACUCUUUCCCAGAAGUUCUACAAGGAUGAGGACUUCAGGAAACUCCUUCCUUUCCUUCCAUUCAGAGGUUCAAUCCAUUGUCAUCAUGGUAGGGAGCAUGGUGGCAUGCAGGCAGACAUGGUGCUGGAGAAGUAACUAAGAGCUCUACAUCUGGAUCCACAGGCAGCAGGAAGACACGGUGAGCCAGUGGGCCUGACUUGGACUUUUGAAACCUCAAAGUGCACCCUCAGUGACACACUUCUGCCAACAAGACCACACCUCCUAAUCCUUACCAAGUUGUAUCCACUCCCUGAUGACAAAGCAUUCAAACAUACCAGUCUAUGGAGCCAUCCUUUUUUUUUUUUUUUUUAAAUGGGGGCCAUUCUUCUAUUCUUAUUCAGAGCACCACAAAAUUUGUUUUGGAAAAGAAGACAUUUGAGAAAGGGGCUGAAGGAUGUAACAGAGUGAAUCCUGUGUACGUAGAGGGAAAGCAUUUCAGAAAGUACAAACACAUGUGUCAUUCCAAGGGAGGGGCAUGCUGUCUACGGAGGGCCAUGGAGGACGUCAGUGUGCUUCUCAUCUUUCUAUGGCUGUGACAAAUAUACCUGAAAGAGACAACCGAAAAGAAGGAAUCUUUCAUUCUGACUCAUUUCCCCCCCAAACGUUUCAGUCAGUGGUUUGUUAACCCUGUUGCUUUUGAACCCAUGAUCUUGGUAUGUCACAGUGGAAGCCCAGGCCGUGGGAUGCUUGGCCAUCUCAUGGUGAUACAUAAACAAAAAGAGAAGUUUGUGCAACUCCUGAAACCUAGGCUGCAUCCACUAACCUUCACCUUUUAAAAGCUCUACAGGGUCCUGAUGGUGCCACAGGAGGGGGCUGAUCACUGAAGCAUGACCUUUGGAGGACUCUAGGUCUAAACUAUAGUGACCAUCAUGGCCAGAGACCAAUGUGGUAAUCUGGAAAGAAACGAGGGAGACAGAUCAGAGAAACCAAACCGUCACUGAGAAUGUUUGGCUGUAGGUGAAAGCAUGGCUGAGUAACGUUGAUAAUGUAGAUUCCGUGCCCGAUCUUAACCCUAGGCACCCUUUGAUGUUGUAAAUGAGCAAAGCCGCAGGAAACAGCUGUUUGGUCCCUUGAAUGACAACUGGCAGAUACUUCCCUCAUGCCCAGCUGCCUUGAGCAUGGAGCAUGCAGCUCCUUCCUUCACUACCUUAUUUGUUCAUUCCAUGAUUGCUCUGAGGAAGCACCACUCUAGCUAGGAAACCCACUCCAACUGCAGCUGCUGUGGAAGUUGUGACUCCAGAGUGAGAGGUCCUAUUUUAGGCAUGACUGCUUCGGGAACCUUGCAUCUGCUUUGGAAGAGUCCACCACAGGUAAAAAGCAGCCACAGAGAACUCUGGAUGACCCUACACUUUCUCAUGCAGGGAAGGAAUGGGAAUGCCUUGCCCUCUGGCUUAUCUAAGUACCCCCACUCCCUCAUCGGUAGAAAUGGAAGCCAUGUAUGUUCAGGACUGUGGCUGGUGAAACGGCAACCUUAACUAUGC